UUCAAUCAAUUUCCCAAACAUUAACCCCAAACCUCCAGAGACUCAAAGUUCAGAGUGAAGCUGCUGCUGCUUCUUCUUCUCCAACGCUUGAGAGUAGAGACCAGAGACGAAGUCACCGUCACGGAGAGAGGCAGAGAGCAGAUCAGUAGAGCUUCUUCUUCUCUGACGAUUGAGAAAACCUGCCAUCCUCCGUCGAAGAGCAGAGCUUCUUCUUCUUCUUCUCCUCCUCCGCCGAGCCCGCCGCCGCCGCGCCAUCCUGUUCAUGUUCCUAAUUCUUCUCCAACGGCAGAAGCUGCCGUUCUGAUAUGUAUGGAGCAGCGGUUUUAGAUGCAUGUGAGCAAAUAAAGGUACGCAUGGAACCUGUUGCUUCACGGAACAACUUCAACUCAUUUGCUGAGGAGGAAAGCAGAUCUGCUGCCAUUGGAAGGCAGCAGAUGGUUACAGAGAAAGGUGGAAAUUUGAUUCAGACACUUGGCAGGGGUUCUGUUCGAAAUGAAGAGAAAACUCGCAGAUUACUAUAACCGUACUUAAAAUAUAAUAUACCUGUAAUCUUUGGUUCUGCUUUCUGUUUUUAGAAUACUUAGAACUGCACUAACGGUCAUUUCUAUCUUUUCUCCUUGGUCUUGGAUAUGCUCACUAAAGCACAUUCAAAAUGGGUACCAUGGAGCAUAUAGUCCUAUUAGGAGAAUCAAGAUUCUUGGAUGGCAACAAGUUGCUGAAAAAAUUGGAAUGCAACAUUGUGCUGCAUCAGGCCAAUGGCUAAAUGAGAGAAUUGCUCUCUCAAGAUAUGCCCAUGUACCACUUGGGAAUUUUGAACUUGACUGGCUUAUAUUUACAGCAGAUACCUUCUUCUCAAGAGCUUUGCGUGAUAGUCAAC